CCGACACGGGUCCUCCCCACCCCGGUGUGCCCGGCUCGGCCGGGGUGCGGGCGCCGGCACUGAAGACCCGACAUCAUGUUCGCCUGAAAGGCUGAAGGAAGUUCACACACCCCCGCACUCCCUUUGCCGCGCCAAUAACCCCCCCCAUCGGUUCUUUAAACCGUUUAAUUACGGUGUCGAGUCUAAGAAACGCUUUCUUUAUCCAGUGGAGGGUGAUUGUGAGUCCAACUGUGCCAGGCGAGAUGCUCAGCGCCCGCGGACGAAGGGCUUCCCCCUGGACGCGCCGAGAACCCUUGUUCAGCUUUUGUCAUAAGUGACCUAGGAAAGUGCUAGACCUCUAACCUUGCAUGGGAUUCAUUUGAGAAUAACAAAAUUAAAAAAAAUUUUUUUCAGUGAGAUUAAGGACAGGAGAACAGAAAUGUCAGCCCACAAGCCCGCGGUUCGCGGUCAGCGGAGGGAGGUUGCAGGCGACCAGCUGCCACCUGGUGGCGGCGCGGGACAAAGAGACUCGCAGCCUGUGGAGUUACUAGGUAGGCGGGCGGGCCGCGGGUGUAUUCGGAAUCGAAAUUGCAGCCGGCAGCUCAAGUGAUCAGAAGUGGAAUUCUCUUGAUCUCUUAAUAUUUGGAUCGAAAAUUGCUAUUAGCACGAUCCACGGUUCUACGCAAAGUCUUCAAGAACAUGACAGCCGAGUUUCCCUGGGGCCCUUUGGCUUGCCACUGACUGAGAAAUGGAUAUCUUGAAGAAAAGCAAGUUUUCAGCUUCCUGAUAGAACUAAUACAAUCUCUGCAAGGGAAUUGUAGACACCACUAGAAGAAUUACAGAUAGAGGCUUUAGGAAACGAGGCCUGGUAAUUUCAGCAUGCACAAAAAUGGCAAUUCAUUGCAUAAGAUUGAUGUCAAAGGACAGAAGCAUUGAUGAUUGUAACCGAACAACAUUUUGUCCCAAAUCACAUGGAGAAAUAACACCUGGAUGUGGAAGGAACUUCACAAAAGAAGCCGGCUGAAACUGAAGACAUGUUUCACAAGCAAACGAUUAAAGCAAGUACCGAGGGUUCUGGCUUUUUACUGGCUGUCAACUGGAAGCCACCCCCAGCAUCUGAAGGUCACCCACUAUUCCUAGAGGUCGCUUCCCGGUCUUUGCCACAUGACCAGUUCACCAAACCAGAGACGGCGCUAGAAGUUGAUCUUUAGUAUAGAUUUCUUUAUUGACUUGGUUCCCAUUGAUGGAGGUGGCUUGUGUGGACAGGUCAGCGGAUCAGUGUCUUCCUAAACCAGGACACACACAUGAUUUUGUGUCAAGGCAAUGCUGGCAUCAGUGAGUUAAGGGCCUCCCCUGGUGGUGGCACAGCGGUUGAGCGCUGGGCUGCGAAGCUGCCCACAGCCUCUGCAGCACUGGUUUGAUCCCGGGCCGUGGGGGAGGGUCCCAUGUGGCGCGCAGACCUCUCCUGCUGCCCGCUGCUCCCCUCAGCAGUGUAUUUCGUCAGUCUGCCUGUUCUGUUCCCUGCUCUGGCUCUGGUGAAUUCUCUCACCCCCUCCUGCACUUCUGACUGUACCCAGUGCUUGU